UUUGUGAGAACGGGAGGGAGAGCACAGCCAAUAAACGAGCGAGCCCAGCCCCGGAAGUUUGCGUCACCAUUUUGUGCUUCGAUCGGGGACGAUACAUUAAGUGCAGAAUGUUUGUGAUGCUUUAAUAAUUAAACACGUAAUAUAAGAAAAAAAUUCUUACUCUUGCAACAUAUAAUUUGCCUCGGAAAUGUCAUGCGAGAGAAGAAAACUAAUUUAAGCGGCAUAUAUUUUGGUUUAGUCCGCUAGGUGGUAUUGCACACGCCAAAGCAAAUUGGCGGGAGCGCGCAGUUCAAUUGCGAAAUCGCUGUGUGUCGGUUGCAAAAUGUCGUCGCACAAAAAUGUCAAGCUGGGCCCUCACGUGUCGCCACACCAACGUGAACUGUUGGUGGCGUUCAUGGAGGGCCACCCCUACCUUGUGCGCACAUCGUGCGCACUGACACAGGAGUGCACGGUGGAGCGUAGGCGGCAGCUUUGGAGUGAGCUUGCCGCCCUGCUGAACACAGAGGGCCCGGCCGCGAUGACAGCCGAACAGUGGCAGGUGUUUUGGCGGAAGGAGGUAUUUCUCUCCCGCCGAGAUGCCGCCGCAGCUUCCGCAAGUCAAAGGUGAGUGCGAGGAGUGGUUCUGUUGCUUGCGAUAUUUACAAUGCUGUCCGUAAUUUACAAUGCUGGCCGUGUCCUGGCCUUGGUGGGCACCUACACGGUUACGGGAGUGUGCGAGCCAUUCUUCCAACCGCUCGACGAGCAGCCCGCCAUGGAGGUGACUGUAGGUACGCAAUCUGUGGGCACCACCGCUGGCACAAGCGGCCUUUCACGUGAAGGAGCACUGCAGCAGCCAGAAGUGGUGGUCCCUGCCGAGCCACUGCCCCGAAGCCCUCCAGCCACUGCACAGCCUGCAGCUGGCCCUGGCGGAGUGAGAACCAGUAAGUGAAAAGGAAAUAUCCUGCAAUGUCACAGCUUGAAUGCACUGGACGUAACGUAGUUGUGCGUUUAGUUCAUUAUAAAGUGGUACUUUUUCCAGGCUACCAACACCGCGUGCAGCGCCGGUCUCGAGGCCCUCGUCGGGUAUCUCACCGGGAGGCCUUGGUUGAACGGCUCGCCGACGACUACGCCAGAAGCGUCGUCCAGAACGACGAGACAAACGAACUCCUUCGUGGUAUCCGCCAGGGCGUAGACCGGCUGGCUGCAGCUACUGAGCGGGUCGUGGCUGCUGUGGAGCGGCAGGCUGACCAAGUUGCGGAGGCACUGCGGCCAGUAGGCCAGCUUUCACAGCUCUUGGGCCAGCUAAUGCAGGAGGCAGUGGCUGCAAGGAGGCAAUAGACAAUUUGAAGUUUUAUUAUUUAUUACUUUUAUUUUUAUUAUUUAUUAUUAUUCGUUCGUUAUGACUUUGAUCUCGUUUUGUACAUUUAAAUAUUUUUUUUACUGAUCUCUAAACUUUGAGAUGUCACGCGAAGGUAGCAGAA